AGUCAUGUGGUGGAAGGGCCCACAGGCUUACAGUGGUGGCACAGGCCCGGUGUGGGGUCCUAUGGGCUCACAGUGAUAGCAAGUCAGGUUGUGGGAGGCUGUGCUGGUGGUGGCAGAGGCAGCUAGUCCUGCCGCAGCUGUGAGUUCCACAAGUGCCCCCCAGCAGCAGCAAGGCACUCAGCACCCAGCUUAGCUACCUGUGGGGAGGAAGGAGCUCUCAGAGCUGGUUCCUGCAGGCACCCUUCUUCCUUUCCACUGGGGUGUAACAGGGCUGAGAAAGCUGAGAGAAGACCCUGUGCACCAGGCAGCAAGGUCAGUUGCUACCGGGCCAAGUAGGCUGGCACAUGGACAGCACACAGGGAAGCACCUCAGGGCUGAGCCUCCAGUGAGGGGAUGGGGCACCUGGGGCUCUGGAGAGUGUUCAAACCGCGGGGCCAAGGGAGGGCUGGGCAAGUAUCAUCCACCUGCUCUUUCUCUUGCAGAGACAGCCCUGCCAAACCCUCACCCGUCUGACUCCCCUCCCACUGCUAAGUCUUUCAAACUGCUGUGUCUGUGUUGGGUCUUGGCAAGACCAGUAGAGCGUGCCUGUUUUCCACAGUCCACUGGGGUCUAAGCCUCCCAGAGAGUUCCAACUGUCCCUGGUGUCCAGUGCCACUGCAGAACCCAGUGCAAUGUGGACUCAGUUCCCAGAGCAGAUCUCCAGGGCCAGGUGUACAGAGUUCCUGGGUACCUAUCCCCUACCGGCUCCUUUCCUUUUCCUUCUGCCUGUGAGCUGGGAUGGAGGAAGGGAUAGGGUCCUGCUUGGUCAUGGCUCUGCCACUUUGCUCUUUUCUGUGUGGUCGUCUCGUUCCCCAGGUGUAGGUGGUUUGUUCUACAGUCUUCAAUGCAUUUUCAGGAUUAGGUGCAUUUGCUGUCGUUACUUCCUUUGUGUGGGGGGGGCUGGGGUGGGGUGGGGAUUUCUGUCUUGCCUUCCUAUUCCACCAUCUUGAGGCUUCUCCUAAAGGACUAUUUUUUUCCAUCUCAUAGUAAGUCUGAAAGGUGUUUCAUGUCACAAAACCUUAAUUUUACCUUUUAAAUGUAAAGUAAAAAUAGAACUAUUAUGUAAGACAUUUCAUCUUACAGUUAACAACUACAAUGCUUUAUUAUAUAGUUAUUUUACAUAAUAUGAUUUACAUAACCUGAUAUAUCCAAACCUCUGUAAAACCUACAUUGCAGUGGAGUUUACUUACAUUCAUAGCUUUAAAGUAGGUAUUACAGUAAUAAUUUUGGCUCUUUGUGGACUUAAGUAAUUAUCUUCUCUAGAAAAGGUUGACUCAAGAUACAUUUAAUCUCCCUUUAAAAGCCCUGAAGUGUAAAAGUGCACAUCACUCCAUGUUUUAUUUAGAAUGAUCUAUUCUGAGUACUUUAAAGUGCUUAUCCUAAAACUGAUUUGUAUUAGAAAUAGGCCUGUCAGGACACUGGAAUGACCAAAUGACAAAAUUCUAGGAACUUUCCUUUUUUAGACUUUAAACUUUAUUCUUUUUGUGAUUAUUUUGGUUUAUACAACUAGUUUCAACAAAAUUAUGCUGCAGUGAAAACAAGGCCUCAAAAAGUAUAAUGUGGAAUAUUCCCAAUUGGUCCACUUAUUUAAAAUCUGCUUUUACAUUUGAUAAGACUGCCUUACUAUUGUUUUUUUAUAAGGUUAUCAAUCUCUCUGCAUCAAAAUAUGUAUUUAAUUGAAGUCUACAGAAAGUAAACUUUGAAGUCCUAAAAAUAAAGUAGGCAGCCAAGAACUUUAUUGGUCUACCCUUAAUUUUCCAAAACUCAUCAUAUGGUGCUGGUAAUAUCCAAGGACAUUAGAAUAGGAAUAUGAAAUCUAUUUUAUUCUGAUCUGGUAACUUAACAAAUGGUAAUCUCUAUUAUUCACUCAUUUUCCUCAAAGUAACCCAAUAUUGUCCUAAAACAACAACUUUUACCAUAGUGGAGUAAGUACUGCCAAGAGGAGAUUGGUUCUUGUGUUGCUGGCUAUGCAUUAAGAUGUCAUUUUUCAUUCUGCUCUGCCCUAGUAACCUCUACUUUGUAACUGUUUAUUCCUUCUCAAGUGAUUUAAUCAUGACUGGGUGUUUGUGUUGUUUCAGUAUUACACUGUAAAUUCCUUAAAGUAGGAAUCUAAUGAUUCUUUUAGCCCAUGGGGUCCUGCACAUAGUUAUUCAGUUUUCAGCUACAUGGCCUUAAGGGGUUAUCUGGUAUGGAAUUUACAUAUAACCAGUCAACACAUGGCUAUGUAAGGAUUUUAGAUACUUCUCAGCAGCAAUAAAAUCACACAUACACACACACAUUUUAGUUUAUAUGUAUGUGCUUAUUGCUUACAACUGUUAAUGUAAAAGUUAUUACAAAAUGAUUAUUUUCACCAAAGUAGACAGUUCAUUGCUACAUUCAUCAUUGCAUUUACCAUUUAGCUUUCCAAAGAAUCCUAAAGUCACAUCGUUUUUGUUUUUGUUUUUUU